rnacentral:rRNA from 1 species
AUUGAACGCUGGCGGCAGGCCUAACACAUGCAAGUCGAGCGGAUGAAGGGAGCUUGCUCCUGGAUUCAGCGGCGGACGGGUGAGUAAUGCCUAGGAAUCUGCCUGGGAGUGGGGGAUAACGUCCGGAAACGGGCGCUAAUACCGCAUACGUCCUGAGGGAGAAAGGGGGGGAUCUUCGGACCUCACGCUAUCAGAUGAGCCUAGGUCGGAUUAGCUAGUUGGUGGGGUAAAGGCCUACCAAGGCGACGAUCCGUAACUGGUCUGAGAGGAUGAUCAGUCACACUGGAACUGAGACACGGUCCAGACUCCUACGGGAGGCAGCAGUGGGGAAUAUUGGACAAUGGGCGAAAGCCUGAUCCAGCCAUGCCGCGUGUGUGAAGAAGGUCUUCGGAUUGUAAAGCACUUUAAGUUGGGAGGAAGGGCAGUAAGUUAAUACCUUGCUGUUUUGACGUUACCAACAGAAUAAGCACCGGCUAACUUCGUG